GGAGAUAGCUGGUUCUCCCCGAAAGCUAUUUAGGUAGCGCCUCGGACGAAUACUACUGGGGGUAGAGCACUGUUAAGGCUAGGGGGUCAUCCCGACUUACCAACCCUUUGCAAACUCCGAAUACCAGUAAGUACUAUCCGGGAGACACACGGCGGGUGCUAACGUCCGUCGUGGAGAGGGAAACAACCCAGACCGCCAGCUAAGGUCCCAAAUUACUACUAAGUGGGAAACGAUGUGGGAAGGCUCAGACAGCCAGGAUGUUGGCUUAGAAGCAGCCAUCAUUUAAAGAAAGCGUAAUAGCUCACUGGUCGAGUCGGCCUGCGCGGAAGAUGUAACGGGGCUAAGUAGUAAACCGAAGCUGCGGCAAUGUGCUUUUGCACAUUGGGUAGGGGAGCGUUCUGUAAGCGGUUGAAGGUGUGUGGUAACGCAUGCUGGACGUAUCAGAAGUGCGAAUGCUGACAUGAGUAACGAUAAAGGGGGUGAAAAACCUCCUCGCCGGAAGACCAAGGGUUCCUGUCCAACGUUAAUCGGGGCAGGGUAAGUCGACCCCUAAGGCGAGGCCGAAAGGCGUAGUCGAUGGGAAACGGGUUAAUAUUCCCGUACUUCUUACAAUUGCGAUGGGGGGACGGAGAAGGCUAGGUGGGCCUGGCGACGGUUGUCCAGGUUCAAGUGCGUAGGCUURAGAGUUAGGUAAAUCCGGCUCUUUUUAAGGCUGAGACACGACGUCGAGCAYCUACGGRKGUGAAGUCAUUGAUGCCAUGCUUCCAGGAAAAGCCUCUAAGCUUCAGAUUGUAAGGAAUCGUACCCCAAACCGACACAGGUGGUCGGGUAGAGAAUACCAAGGCGCUUGAGAGAACUCGGGUGAAGGAACUAGGCAAAAUGGUACCGUAACUUCGGGAGAAGGUACRCUCUCGACGGUGARGUCCCUCGCGGAUGGAGCUAUUGAGAGUCGCAGAUACCAGGUGGCUGCAACUGUUUAUUAAAAAC
rnacentral:rRNA from 1 species